rnacentral:rRNA from 1 species
GAUGCCUACGGGACGCAGCAGUAGGGAAUAUUCUAAAAUGGGUGAAAGCCUGAUGGAGCAACGCCGCGUGGGUGAAGAAGGUCUUCGGAUCGUAAAACCCUGUUGUUAGAGAAGAAAGUGCGUGAGAGUAACUGUUCACGUUUCGACGGUAUCUAACCAGAAAGCCACGGCUAACUACGUGCCAGCAGCCGCGGUAAUACGUAGGUGGCAAGCGUUAUCCGGAUUUAUUGGGCGUAAAGGGAACGCAGGCGGUCUUUUAAGUCUGAUGUGAAAGCCUUCGGCUUAACCGGAGUAGUGCAUUGGAA